rnacentral:pre_miRNA from 1 species
GAUACCGCAAAGAGGUCGACCGUGUAAUGUGCGCCAUAAAUAAAGCGAACGCGCCACGGACCACCUCUCUCCAAGUACC